AACGAACGCUGGCGGCAUGCCUAACACAUGCCAGUCGAACGAGACCUUCGGGUCUAGUGGCGCACGGGUGCGUAACGCGUGGGAACCUGCCCUUAGGUUCGGAAUAACUCCCCGAAAGGGGUGCUAAUACCGGAUAAUGUCUUCGGACCAAAGAUUUAUCGCCUUUGGAUGGGCCCGCGUUGGAUUAGCUAGUUGGUAGGGUAAAAGCCUACCAAGGCGACGAUCCAUAGCUGGUCUGAGAGGAUGAUCAGCCACACUGGGACUGAGACACGGCCCAGACUCCUACGGGAGGCAGCAGUGGGGAAUAUUGGACAAGGGGCGAAAGCCUGAUCCAGCAAUGCCGCGUGAGUGAUGAAGGCCUUAGGGUUGUAAAGCUCUUUUACCCGGGAUGAUAAUGACAGUACCGGGAGAAUAAGCACCGGCUAACUCCGUG
rnacentral:rRNA from 1 species